UACGUAGGUGGCAAGCGUUGUCCGGAUUUACUGGGCGUAAAGAGCGCGCAGGCGGUCGGAUAAGUCGAAUGUGAAAGCCCCCGGCUCAACUGGGGAGGGUCAUUCGAUACUGUUCGACUCGAGGGCAGGAGAGGGAAGUGGAAUUCCCGGUGUAGUGGUGAAAUGCGUAGAUAUCGGGAGGAACACCAGUGGCGAAGGCGACUUCCUGGCCUGUUCUUGACGCUGAGGCGCGAAAGCUAGGGGAGCAAACGGG
rnacentral:rRNA from 1 species